AUGAGUGUGGAAAUGGCAUCCACAAGACAUCAGCGCUUUGUUCCGUGUUUUUUGGGAAUACUCCUGACUGCUUUAAUUGGUGUGAUGUGCGAAGCGGAGCUCUCCUUCACCCUGGAGCCCAGUGAUAUCAUUGCUGUACAGGAGCAGCCGCUCAUGCUCCACUGCCAGGUGGAUGGCAUCCCUCCGAUUACGACGCAGUGGAGACGUAACGGCCUCCUUUUAGCUCAGGACCAACAUCAUACCACCUUCAUCAAUGGCUCACUCCUGAUCGGUCAUUUCCAGAAGACCAAGUCUGAUGGAUCGUCUGAUGAGGGCGACUACGAGUGCAUGGCCCAGAAUUCUUUUGGGCUGGUGGUGAGCCGUAAGGCUCGCAUUCAGGCAGCCACAAUGGCAGACUUCCAUGUCCAGCCAGAGUCGGUGCAUGUUGAGGAGUCCGGUGUGGCUAGAUUCCAGUGUCAGAUCCAUGGUCUGCCAGAGCCCAUCAUCAGCUGGGAAAAAGACAACCGGCCAGUGGACACCCAGGACGACAGGUACACACUGCUGCCAACAGGUGUUCUGCAGAUUACAGGAAUCCAUGAGGAGGACAGUGGAAAGUUCUGCUGUGUGGCCCAUAACAGUGCUGGAGUAAAAUACAGUGCUAAAGCACUCCUCACUGUUUCAGGCUCCCAGUCAUCUGUUUACAAAGAGCCUAUGAUCCUGGUUGGCCCAGAAAACCUGACCCUCACUGUUCACCAAACCGCUAUCUUGGAGUGUGUUGCUACUGGAUACCCUCGGCCCAUUGUGUCCUGGAGCAGACUAGAUGGUCGUCCCAUUGGUGUGGAGGGAAUCCAGGUACUUGGCACAGGGAACCUGAUGAUCUCUGAUGUUGGUGUGCAGCACUCAGGGAUCUACGUGUGUGCUGCUAACAAACCAGGGACUCGUCUUCGGAGGACUGCUCAGGGACGUCUGGUGGUCCAAGCUCCAGCAGAGUUUGUUCAACCUCCACAGUCCAUUGCCCGGCCUGUCGGCACCACUGCCAUCUUCACCUGCCAAGCACAGGGUGAGCCUGAGCCCCAGCUCACCUGGCUGAAGAACGGGCAGAUUCUCGAGCCUGGGGGACACGUCAAACUCAGGAACAACAACAGCACUCUGACGAUAUAUGGCAUUAGCCAAGAUGAUGAAGCCAUCUAUCAGUGUAUCGCUGAGAACAGUGCUGGCUCCACACAGGCCAGUGCCCGCCUCACAGUGCUCUGGGCUAACGGACUGCCCGGUGUGCCCACCCAUGUGCAGGCCGAGGCCCUCUCACCCACCACCAUCCAGGUGUCCUGGAUGGAGCCUGAUCAGAACACUCAAGACAUCAUUGGAUAUGUGGUCCACAUCCGCAGGACCUCAGACCCAGGGGAGAUGGAGUAUGAGGAGGCCGUCAGUAAGGUGACGCUGCAGCAGAUCAUCAGGGAUCUGGUGCCUUCCACCAGUUACACUUUCUACGUCAAGGCCUACACGUCCCAUGGGGCCAGCAAACCAUCGGACGCCGUUACGGAGAGCACACAUGGGGAGGUGCCAGGGCCUCCCUCCCUUUACACCAAGGUGGUGAACAGCAGCAUUGUGCAAGCAGCAUGGGAGCCUUCCUUUAAGAUGGGCCAACAUCAAGGCUUCAGACUGUAUUACAGAAGAGCCCACACACCCCAGUUCACUGGUCCCAUCACCUUCCCUCGCAACAUCACCCAGUACAACAUCACUCAGCUGGAUCCUGCACACGUCUAUGAGAUAAAGCUCCUUGCAUACAACCAACACGGAGAUGGGAAUGCCACUGUUCGAUUUGUUUCACUUCAGGAAGCAGUAGAGAAAUCAGUGCUGGACACAUCGUGUGACUGUGUGAAAGAUCAACAGAGCAAAACAUCCACUACAGGCAUCAUAAUCGGCAUUCACAUUGGAGUCACCUGCAUCAUCUUCUGUGUCCUCUUCCUCGCCUUCAGCUACCGCGGCAGGUUAAUGAUGUGUAAGACAGUUCAGGCCACCCCCCAAGUUGGGCACAGUGCAGUGCUGGAGUCCUCCUCUUCUUCUCAGGGGUCCUCUGGGCUGAACAGGUCUACAGCGAGGAACAUUGAGGUCAACGGCAGCACAGCAGGGAAGAAAGCUGUCGACGGCAACGAGCUCGAGAGACUUUUCACUCAGUCUAAUAGACAAGAAACUUGCAUAUCUGAUUCCUACAUGUUAGAUGACACUCAGCUGUCCACAAUACCACUGGACGAGGUUGUGGUGGAACAGGACACAGAGACACAGUUCCUGGAGCCUCCUGCAUCAGAGGUGUGUCGGCAGGACCAAGGUUAAUCAUGUAUGAAGGCCAGUUCACACGAUACUGUCCACUUAGACUCUUCUUCUCACUCAGAAGACAUCAGCCUUCUUCCAGGGAUUCAAUAUAUUCUCUCUCAGGACUUUAUUUCAGUAACAUCACCAUUUUUUAUGAGUUUUCGGCCUUCAUACAGGAUCUAGACUUGGAUGUGUGAACCUUACAGUUCAACAGAAACCUACCUCAGCCGGAAUGAAUGUGUUGCGGGAAGCGUUUUAGGGAUUUUACCUUCCCCUCUGCUCACAAUUACUUUACACGUGGAGGAACUGAUUGGUUUGAAAAUUACAAGAUCAGGUGCCGCACUACCUCAGAUGUCAAGGAUCGUCUCUCUUCUCUCGCUCGUUGGAGCAAAACAAGAAAAAUGAGUAUCCAACAUAAAGCACUUCCAAAUGCUGAAGUUAAUGUUCUACCUCAAGAUAACAAUGUUAAUGUUGCUGUUGUUGUUGCUUGUCUGUUUAUUGCAUAAUGAAAAUCCAUCUCUCCCCCCUCUGUGAAAUCCCGGUUUCCCUCCCUCUGCUGAUGAAUAUGGUGUUUGUAGAUACAAUGGCAGUACCUCAUGCAGGCUGACAGACAGAUAACACUGUUGAAUGAAUUUCAGCAUGUUAGAACUAUGUAUGAAUUAUGCUGUUCCAUUGUCAGCUUUUUUUUAAAUAUUUUGUUCCAUUUAAAAGAUCGUACUCUUUUUUUUUUUUGUUUACCAGACAUAGUUGCUUCUCUUGCAUGAAAGACCAUUAGAGAUACACUGCGUUGCUAAUGAUAUUUUGAGGGCUAUCUGCUGCUGAGUGAGGUGUGACGUAUAAUGUUCAUUUGGACAAAAGGCAAAAUAAUAUACAGACUUUAUAUACUGUCUGAGUUUAAAAUUAGCAUCAUGAUUGAAUUCUGUAUGUUUAUGUAUUUGUGUGCGAGUGUGUGCAGAUAUGCUUUAUUGAUUCAGUUUUUCUACAAAUGAUGAUGUUUGUAAACAAGCACAAAUUUGAUCAAAACGUACCAAAACAUUCUACUGCUGUUGGUGUAAUGACUAAAACGACUAGUUUGAGAAAUAAUAUUAUUUUCAUUAUUAUAUUAUUGGCUCUCUUGCUAACAGACAGAUAACGCCACUCUUGUGUGUCUUUACCUAUAAAGCUUUAAUCAGUACACAAUUAGCUUAGCUUAGCAUGUACAGCACAUUACUUCUAAAAUCACAAAUUGUCAUAAUUACAUUGCUGUUUGAAUACAGACUAAACCCAUGAGAUGUAAUUUGUUAAAUAGUGAGGGUUAGGUGGCAGCAGUGUAUCUCUAAGGUUUUUCUAAAUAUUUGUUGCUGCAGUGUUCUUAGUGACUGUGUUUUCCUGCUUUCAUAAAGUACACAAAGUUGUAAUCUUUUACACUUGUGCCCGAUGCCCAGAAGACGUAACAACUGCAGAUCAUGUUUGUCUAUCAUUAAAACCACAACUGCUGCUCAGCCUUCUCCCUCCUGUCAACAGUGACUAGUCGGAGUGCUUCAGGAACACCGUGGUUACAAUAACAAUAGGUGCUGAUGACCACAGUGAACCAGAGUUGUGUGACAACGCAAACACAGGGCUUCUUUCUGCAGCCCUCUGUUCGAUGCUGUCACCUUCUGUACAGGACUUACAGUGAUGCAUUAUGGUUACCUACCUCAACCCUGUUUUUGGCCUUUCUCUCAGGUCUUAAUGAAGGAAAUAUACAGAAUACGUACAGUGGAGUAGAGUAAUAAACACCUAAAUGAACAGUAUAAAUACUGCAGCUGUUGAAACAUGCUGGACAGAAAGGGACACAAACACACAAAUGGAGGGAGAACCUUACAGGACCUUUAUCUCAUGCACGAGUUACUAAAAUAGGCCGUCUUCAUUUUUAGUUUCUAGUGGAUGUGAAUAUGUAACUUUUUUCAUGUCAGAAGCAUUUGACUUUUUCUUCUCACUGGUGACUUUGACCUUAUAUGCUCUGUGGAAACUUUCUAAAUGAGAAACGUAAAGAGGCUUGACACCUACAGCUCCCAACACAAACAUAAUUUCACAUGACUGGUUUAUUGAUUGGCUUCUCUGGCUCCUUAACUAUACUGUGAUGAGCAGCUGAACGGGAGAAAACGUAGACAUCAGCCUACUGGUUUUAAUUCUUACUCAAAAAAAAUAUCUCCCACUCAGUGAAAAGAGAAGUGCUGACAAAAUGGCUGUCACGUCUUAGAAGAAACAACCUCAAAUGAAUUUGAACUAAAAGCUUAGAGUUAACCUUAUUCCAUUCAUGCCUCUGCCCCAUCACUUAAGUGUCAAGCUAUGCUCACAGUAACACAGCUGCAUUUGGCAAAGUUACCUUUAAGUUUGUUUGUUUUUUGUACAUUUAAGGUGGUGAAUCCAAAAUGCUUCCUCACAGUGUUCAGCACACCUGCUACAUUUCUACAAUUUGGAUUAGCAAAGAUAAAAAUAAUUGUCUAGUUUGCUGAAGCCAACAGCAAGAGGUCAGAAUGACAUUUAUUCAGCGAAUUUAUAGCAUGUAUCUGGUUUCACACAAUGAAACAAUCUAAUUUAGGCUACUUAAGUAGUGUGAUGACAAGACUAGCGGUGGGGCUAGCGGAUAACAGGACUGAUGUGUUAUGCAACCCUGCAGUUUCCAUUUUAGAGAUCAUCUUAGGUACUGUAAUUUUAUGCCUUUUAAAAUGAUUUGUUUAUGUUUCCUUGUCUGCAGAGUUUUUUUCUUGCAUCAAUUUCAUGUAUUUAAUUGUACACUUUGGUGUUAAUAUCAUGUUUCAAGUGUUGGAACAAUAAUAAUGGUACUUGUCAAAAAAGACGAACAUUUGACAGCCUACAGUCAACGUCUCCUGCUUGUAUAUUUAUUAAUUACCAAUGUGAUAUUUUCUCUCCAGGGCUGCUACAUCUUCAGGUUCAGUUGAGUCAUUUCUCUGGGGAAAUAAGUUGUUUGAUUUUCCUCCUUACCUCCUUCCUUCCUCUGUCCCUCGGUACAAUUUAGGGUUAAUCUCCUGCUGUAGGAAAUUGCCCACAUCUCACCUAUGGAUGUGGCAGGUUUUAGUGCCAUCCUGUUUAACCUGAUUCCCUGGGAAUGUGGUGCAGUGACGAUCAUGUUUCUGUGAUUAGAUGUUGAUAGGUCAGGCUGUCUCAUUGCUAUAUAAUAUGAGAACUUGUGUGAUUUAGUGAAGGCCUCAAAGCUGUUCUCACUGACUGACGGGUGCUCCAUCAGCAGAAGGGACCACAGGAUUCCUUCUUUGAAAAAGGGGCCAUUGUCAUAUAUAUCCAUCAGCCUUGGGAAGUGCUUUAUCACCUAGCUCUGCUUUUGUCUGUCUGUCUCCACCUUUCCUCAUAUGUGGAUCUUAACCUUUGGACAGGGAGCUUGUGCUCAGGGACUCUCUGGUCCUCUUGUUAUAGGGUAUGUAAAUCAUCAACAGCCCACUCUUCUGGACAGGAUUUUCCUCCUUAAAUUCUUCUUUGUGCCCAGAUCAGACAAAUUUGCUGUGAGAGAUGCCCUCUUUGUUUUUCAUUCAAGUAAAUAAGAUAAUGCAUUGACAGAACAAGGGUUUAAUUCUGUCAUUUAUCCUAUUUUUCACUCUGAUAGAAAUGAAAAGGGAGAAAGCUGCCUUGUCAAUGUCCCUAAGGGUGAUGGAAUCAAGGAUGUGAGGAUUACACAUUAAAGGAAUAGAUCAGGGUUUAUCAAGUUAGUGUUAAAAUAUUAUUGAUGUAUCCCUAUGUAUGCGAGAAGUUGUUACUUCUCCACACUGAACCUGAAUGUUUCCACCCAGAUCACCUCUAUGCUGCAAAAAACGAGGGGCAAACCACACAACUCUCAUUCUCAAAUGGCAGCUUCAGCUGUUCCACUAAACUAAUCUGAGUCUGAAUAUUUCAAAGUUGCAGUCUAUUUAAAACAAAUUUCCCUCUUUUUAUUUCCCUGGACAGUACCUUGCUAUCCUGCAGCAGAGGGAUACGUUAUAGUAGGAGCAUAUAAGUUCUACAUUAUUACCCUCAGCUCUCUGAGCACAACUCCAGUAGUAAACACCAGCUAAAACUUGCAGGCGACUACUGUCCCUCGUUUUAUGCGGCGUAGUGACGUUCCAGGAGGAAAUAUUCAGGGUCAGUGUGAAGAUUAGGAGAGGUGACAACAAAUAAGACCUAUUCUCACAUGCACAGAGAUACCUCACUACUGUCUUAACACCAACUUGAAAAAUCCCAAACUAUUCGUUUAACAUUAGGCUACAUUUCUCUGUGUAAACAUAAUAUGAAAUCAGGGAGCUUCACAAGGUGAUUCUUUUUUCUUAUUGUCAGUGAAAGAGUUGCUGUUUUAAGCAUAUAGAUCCUGGAUUGCUGUGCUUCAAUAAGAUCUAGUAAUGUAAACAUUUGUGUUACUGGAUUAGUAGGCCUCUUUAGUUCUGUAUUUUUGAUGUGCAGUUUAUUGAUACUCAUUCUAGAGUUAAAGCAAUUAUUCCAUUAAUUAAGAAAAUUAAUCCUCAAACAUGGUGAAGUUUUUACAAGCAAAAAUGCCAAAAAUUAACCAGUUCAAGUUUCUAAAUUGUGAAACUUUGCUGCUUUCCUUUAUCACACAUGAUAGUAAAUGAAUAUUUUGUGGUUUGGACUGCGGUUCAGACAAAACAACUGAGGUUGGGCUUUAAGAAAUUGUCACUGUGAGGUGAUUUAUCACUGUUUUCUAAUAUUUUAUAGACCAAACAAUUAAUCGAUUAAGUGAGAAAAUAGUUGACAGAUUGAUUGAUUAUGAAAAUAAUCAGUAGUUGCAGCUCAUUCAUACUUGUUUCAGCACACUCAGGUUCUGACAAAGAAGGCAUCCCGGAUGGACUGGGCAUGUGUGUGACAGUCUGUAGCUUAUGGUGUGUAGUUUAUGGUGUUAAGACAUCUGUCCAGUUCUCUCUCUUGUCUUGCAUUAACUAAACACAGAUAAAAAAGGUUUAAUCAGAAGGACAUGGCAGGCUAAAUAAUGUCUGUUAUGGACAGAACAAUGCUGUAACUCAGUGGUUGAUCUUUGUGGUGAGGACGCAGAGGAGACCUGAAGCAUUCUGGUUUCCUUAGAAGUCCAAAGCCUAAUACAACUUGCCUCCUCUUGAAGUAUCCUAUACAUCAUGCAAUAUUGAUCAUUGUGUUACCAAAUGACCAUCCAAUAUGAUUGUGAAUUGAUUACAUUUCCAAUGCAUUUAUCUCUGUGGUGUUCUGCUCUGAGACCCUCAUGACUGUACAUGUCAAGUAAAGCUGAGUGUAAAGAUUUUCCAAGUAAUUUAUACUCUUGUCAAAUGGUGGUUUAAUGUAAUUGUACUUUAAUGUUUAAGAUUGAUAUUAUAUUUUAUAUACAUCUGUCAUGAACGCAGAUUGAAACCAAUGUUUUUUAAAGGUAGUAGGCAGAGAAAAACAUACAAUAGAUCUGCAUGAGAAGCAAAAAGCUAACGUGUUAUUUUAGCUCAAAUGAAGUGUUAGUUAAUCAUUACUGGACUUGUGAUGGUAACACUGUGAUAUUUAGCCAAAUAAUGGCAAACUGAUGUUGUAGUCUCAGUAUGGUGCUAUUGAUGGUCCUGUCUCACUCGGUCAGUCUGUUUUGAUGGUGUUUUUUGAUGAAAAUAGGUUGAGUGGCAUUUUCCAUUGACUAACCUCAAUCUGUCUCACCAUCACCGAAGCCAGAUUGUCACCUCAUCGUGUUCCCAUCAGUCGUCCUCAUAUGAGUGACUCGGACUGGGGUGCUGUUGUCUUCAUAUUCCUUCACAAACCAUCUUUGCUUGAGGAGAAUGUCAGUUCUGUAGCGACGUUGCCAGCACAAUCAGUCAUGCUUUUUUCAGGCACUGGAGUAAGGCAAGAGCUCCUGAGUAGAAUCUACUCUGCAGGUGUGAUUGAUGCCACAGCUGAAGUCAGCCUCAAACCUUAAAAGUCGAUAACAGCUUCUCAGUGAAAACCUCAUUGUUUAAGCCUGUAGCCGAGACAGGCAUUGUAAAAUCUUCCUUUACGGAGCACCACACACUUUGCAUUUCUUUCUGUGAUUCACAGUCUUAAGCUUCAAUCAUGCAGGACUGCAGGAAAAGGACUAUUUUGUCUUGAUGGGAAAAUUAUGCCAUUAUAUUGCUGCCAUAUCAAACCAUGUAGGCGUAAAAAUAUUUGACCUGCUCUUGCCCAGUGUUGUGGGUUUGCAUCAAGAAUUUUACUCCAACUAGAAGAAAGGAUAUGAGAUUAGUUUGUCUUACUGGCCAAGGAUUUCAACAUUCCACACUUUGUCCCCAUCUCACCCACAACUUAAGACUCACCCACAUGUGAAGUUUAGUCUCCAUUGCUGGAUUUAAGGCCCCUUGAAAUUUGGUCUCCAUAACAUUAAACAUUUAUUAUUAAAAAAAAAGCAAUAUUGAAGUUGGCUCUGAUUUUACAAGACUUUACUGCCAACCAUGAUUCCUCCAAGGAAAAUCAGGCUGUUUUUAGUUUAGUUACUAGUGGGGUAGUCCUGUUGAAGGUGAGAUAAUGAGCAGGGUGUUAAUACAAUGCAUACACAAACUCAUAGCACAUACACGUAAACUCAAGCACAAUGUUUUAAAAAAUUAAAAACCAACAUAAAAAUGUACAUAAAACACUUUUUUGUAAGUUGCUUUGAUUUAAUCGGCCAUUUGUUUAAUGUGGAAACAUUUACUAGCUUUUAUACUGAAAGGAUUGCUGUCCUUUUUUCCUGUUUAUGGUCUAAACCUCAGAAGAAAAUCUGACCACAACAAAGGGCAAGAGAAGGGAAAAGCCGUCUGCCACUUUAUUCUCACUGUGUCGUCAGUGCUUUUACUAUUAAUAUAGUUUAACAUUUGAAUAGAAGUAAACAGUAAACAUUUUAUUAAGUCUAUGCAGUUUUAUUUGCUGCAGGGUUCAAAUGUGGUGCCAUCCUGAAGCCAAAAACCAUAUGCAUCGACAGCUGAGUAAACCGAGCCUUGUUCGAUUAGAUAAGUUGAAACUGAACACAGGGAGCACAAAUUUGUAACAUCAGCCCAUGAUCACACAUCUGUCUGUCUGUUUUUCUGCUUACCUGUCCUGUUUAAUGUCUUCCUUUAGCGGUCACUGCCUGCUUUUACUGUCUGUGCCACAGUUAAAUUCAGGUCAGUAAGAGAUGAUUUAAAAAGCUUUGUCAGAGCAUUGUCAGGGAUCACUACUGUAUGUCUCCACAAAGUUUGUACACUCUCUCAAGGUGCGGUUACAAUUCUGUAUACAUAUUCACAUAUACUGUGUGUACUGUAUAUAUGUAUGUAUGCAUUUGUGUAAGAAGGCAAACUAGACUAUUUUUAGUGGUUUGUAUUGUUUUAGGGUUCAUUGUGCA